AUUGAACGCUGGCGGCAUGCCUUACACAUGCAAGUCGAACGGUAACAGGUCUUCGGAUGCUGACGAGUGGCGAACGGGUGAGUAAUACAUCGGAACGUGCCUAGUAGUGGGGGAUAACUACUCGAAAGAGUGGCUAAUACCGCAUGAGAUCUACGGAUGAAAACAGGGGAUCGCAAGACCUUGUGCUACUAGAGCGGCCGAUGGCAGAUUAGGUAGUUGGUGGGAUAAAAGCUUACCAAGCCGACGAUCUGUAGCUGGUCUGAGAGGACGAACAGCCGAACUGGGACUGAGACACGGCCCAGACUCCUACGGGAGGCAGCAGUGGGGAAUUUUGGACAAUGGGCGCAAGCCUGAUUCAGCAAUGCCGCGUGCAGGACGAAGGCCUUCGGGUUGUAAACUGCUUUUGUACGGAACGAAAAGCCCUGGGUUAAUACCCUGGGGUCAUGACGGUACCGUAAGAAUAAGCACCGGCUAACUACGUGCCAGCCGCCGCCGUAAAAC
rnacentral:rRNA from 1 species